rnacentral:rRNA from 1 species
GUGCCAGCAGCCGCGGUAAUACGGAGGAUGCAAGCGUUAUCCGGAAUGAUUGGGCGUAAAGCGUCCGUAGGUGGUCAUGUAAGUCUGUGGUUAAAGCGUGUAGCUCAACUACAUAACGGCCAUGGAAACUACAUAACUUGAGUAAAGUAGGGGUAGAGGGAAUUCCCAGUGUAGCGGUGAAAUGGGUAGAGAUUGGGAAGAACACCGGUGGCGAAAGCGCUCUACUGGACUUAAACUGACACUGAGGGACGAAAGCUAGGGGAGCGAAAGGGAUUAGAUACCCCUGUAGUCCUAGCCGUAAACGAUGGAUACUAGGUGUUGCCCGUAUCGACCCGGGCAGUGCCGUAGCUAACGCGUUAAGUAUCCCGCCUGGGGAGUACGCACGCAAGUGUGAAACUCAAAGGAAUUGACGGGGGCCCGCACAAGCGGUGGAGUAUGUGGUUUAAUUCGAUGCAACGCGAAGAACCUUACCAGGGCUUGACAUGUCUGGAAUCUUUGGGAAACUAGAGAGUGCCUUCGGGAACCAGAACACAGGUGGUGCAUGGCUGUCGUCAGCUCGUGUCGUGAGAUGUUGGGUUAAGUCCCGCAACGAGCGCAACCCUCGUUUUUAGUUGCCAUCAUUCAGUUGGGCACUCUAGAAAGACUGCCGGUGACAAACCGGAGGAAGGUGGGGAUGACGUCAAGUCAGCAUGCCCCUUACGCCCUGGGCUACACACGUACUACAAUGCUAUGGACAAAGGGCAGCCAACUGGCGACAGUGCGCUAAUCCCAUAAACCAUGGCUCAGUUCAGAUUGCAGGCUGCAACUCGCCUGCAUGAAGGCGGAAUCGCUAGUAAUCGCAGGUCAGCAUACUGCGGUGAAUCCGUUCCCGGGCCUUGUACACACCGCCCGUCACACCAUGGGAGUUGGUCACGCCCGAAGUCGUUACUCUAACCCUUGUGGAAGAGGACGCCGAAGGUAGGGCUGAUGACUGGGGUGAAGUCGUAACAAGGUAACC